CUUGGGUACCAGGUUUCUAAAUGCUGUGCACAGCACCGACCCUUCGGCCUCGCGCUCUCCGAAAUUCCAUGCACACACAGACUCGCAGGCCAUGGAUUCAUCACAAGAGUGGCCCUGCCUGCCUGCCUGCCUGCCUGCCAUCUGCCCCCACGGACACCAUGGUCCAGCACCGCAUUCCAGGACUUGCCCCAUUCUCAUCCACCUCCUCCUCCAUCACUACCUCGCCGAUUUUCAACUUUUAGCUUGAGCUGUGUGCACACACUGCUGCUCAGCAGACCAGUCCGGAGGCAGGAGAAGGAGUAAGAGGAGGGCACUCUCGUAGCAGAUGGAUUCGGUGGCGUCGUCAUGAGGCGGAAGGCCUCCUGGGAUGAUGUUGUUGCGGUUUGGUGUUCUGGUGCCGGAGAUGUGCAGUUUCGUUUCCAGGUGGGGAUGCUUCAAGCUCGAAUUCUUCGUUUGUUGGUAGCUUUGAUAGAAUUGCAACGGUGUUGGAGGUUUCUGGCUUCGGAGUUGGGAUGGUUUCUCGGUUGCUAUAUGUUUUGGAGGAGGUUGUUGAUGUGGUGUGGAGUUACUGGAGCAAGUGUGGGGCAGGCCUAUCUGUUAGCUCGAAGAGUGGACCACUGAUGGGUCGCUUCGUUAGUUUUCCUCCAUUGCUUAUCGCCGAAGGAUGGUGGAGUCUGUAGCCGGUCAAAAUUGAGGCGUCUUUUUCGCCAAUCCAGGAGUUGUUCUUUCAACUGAGCACUUCUGUGGACGUGUAGCGGUUUUUUUUUUUUUUUAUAUUGUCACGUUAUCAGAUUUUGGAUCGCUUCCAUGUUUCUGGGAGACUGUAAAUGCUGUCUAGUUUAGACGUGUGACCUGAACCGGUCGAUAAGAUGAGUGGGUGCCAUGCCAGAUAUGGAUCAAACUCCAAAGACAAUUGCUCCCCCAACCACUCGACGUCGAUAUUAUACUUCGUCUCCACAAUCUCGGCCAUGGUUGCAUUAGGGUGCGUUACUGUGAUCUUUUUCUGUUGCAUUUACUACAAGCGGCGUAGGAUUACCGAGCGGCUUCGAAACGCUCGCAGUAGAGCACAACAAACGGGAUCCGACCCCGUCAUGUACGUUUGGCCGGGCACUGCAAGGGAGACACUGGGAACUGGAUCCGGAUCUGCAGAUGGAGCUCGCGAUACGCAAGCCACUUCCAAUCCCGGAGGCAAUGUUUCCAAGGAGAUUGUUGCAGGAGUUGAGCCUGUGUCGUGCGUGAUCAUGGCGGGGGAAGACCGUCCCACGCACUUGGCACGGCCCUUGCCGAGGGAGGAGUUCAUCGACGUAUUUUUGGGCGACAAAUUGGACGGUCUGGAGCGAGGAAAACGAAGAGAACCAUGAGAACUAGUGACGACAUGGGUAUUGGCAUUUUUGGGGAAGCACCAUCUUGAGGUGAUUGCGAUUCAAUUGUUCUGUGCACAGCUUCGAUUGUGGCGAAAGAGAUUAGUCAAUUAGCGGGAUGGACAUGUUCCAAGCAUGUCUUGUCCAUAAAGAGCACGGUUCAUCUAUGAAAUCCUUGCCACUGCGAGAUCAAUCGGAAGCUGUAGAUGCCGUCGUUUGUGCGGCAUUAAUGUCCAAUAGUGGUCUGUGAAUACGUAAACUGCGUACAUAAAGAGAUUUGACAUUCCAAAGGCUUCGUUAAGGAUCUUGGUUUCUAAAGUUCAGGUGACGAAUCCUGUUCCCCAAAAAACGUAUCGAGGCGAUGGUUUGUUCCAGCCUUUUACGAGAAAGAUCUGCUUGGCACUGAUUGUUUGCAGUAGAUUCGAAGAGCUUAUUGAGCGGGUUCAAUAGAAUUUAAUCGCGCGUGCGAACCUUUGUCUGAGACAAAAGCUGGCGGGCCGUGAGGCUAACCAGCUUGGGGAUUGCGUGUGGAACAUGUACGUAUAACCACAAGGAGUGGUUGUAAACUAAAUCAUGUAUCCAGGUUCGUGUGAGUGCAGAUGAAGGAUCGCAAUCGAAGCUCUACACGUUACGUCUACGGGUGUGGAGCAGCACAUAUGGCGUGAUACUCCUGGACCACCUUAAGUACACGCCCCUGCAAGUAAAUUUUUUUGAACAAGGAGAUUCGGUGGCAACUCCUAGUGUUUCCAGUCGCAAUAAAAACACCUCAGAAAAUAAUUACAGAAUGGAAGGUAGGAUCUCCGAACACUUCUCACUGGAGGCGCAUGUUUUGAAAGUGGUGUACCUGACAGAACCCUCCAUAACUGUAGCUGUUGCUGUGUGAACCUUCGAGCACUUUUCACACAGGAGAGAAAGAAACCCUUAGACCUCUUUUCCCGUUCUGGACGAUGAAGCUGCAAAAGCUGUGUGUGGGCUGUCACUCCUCAACAUGAAGCUUGAAGUGAAGGAAGACGGUAUCAUUUUAGAUGAUGAAGUAUAGUCAUAGCCGGCCAGAAGCUGCAGUGUGGCAUUAGUUCGAGACAAGAAAGUACAACUGAUCAGUCCGUGAAGUUGACCCAGAAUUUCAUGCGGUGCUUUCAUAGCCACUACAGAAAAGUGGCUCAAUAAACAGAGAUCAGGUGCAGACAUACAUUUCUACUUCAAUGAGCACGUACAGACAGAAACUUCAGUUGCAAGUGCUUAUUCUUUGCAUUCCAAUGGCAUGAAAUAAAAUCAACACGAACUAUCUGAAGCAUUCAAGAAA